rnacentral:rRNA from 1 species
CCUACGGGAGGCAGCAGUGAGGAAUAUUGGUCAAUGGCCGGAAGGCUGAACCAGCCAAGCCGCGUGAAGGACGAAGGUGCCAAGCAUUGUAAACUUCUUUUGUCAAAGGACAAAAUCAGGCACGAGUGCCUGGCUGAGGGUACUUGAAGAAAAAGCAUCGGCUAACUCCGUGCCAGCAGCCGCGGUAAUACGGAGGGUGCAAGCGUUGUCCGGAUUCAUUGGGUGUAAAGGGUUCGUAGGUGGAUUAAUAAGUCUGGUGUGAAAUGCACGAGCUCAACUUGUGACCGGCACUUGAUACUGGUGAUCUUGAGUGCGGGAGAGGUAGAGGGAAUGUCUGGUGUAGCGGUGAAAUGCGUAGAGAUCAGACAGAACACCGGUUGCGUAGGCAGUUUAC